GAUGAAGAACGUAGCGAAAUGCGAUACGUAAUGUGAAUUGCAGAAUUCAGUGAAUCAUCGAGUCUUUGAACGCACAUUGCGCCCCCUGGUAUUCCGGGGGGCAUGCCUGUCCGAGCGUCAUUUCAACCCUCAAGCCCUCGGGUUUGGUGUUGGGGAUCGGCGAGCCUUUCUGGCAAGCCGGCCCCGAAAUCUAGUGGCGGUCUCGCUGCAGCCUCCAUUGCGUAGUAGUAAAACCCUCGCAACUGGAACGCGGCGCGGCCAAGCCGUUAAACCCCCAACUUCUGAAUGUUGACCUCGGAUCAGGUAGGAAUACCCGCUGAACUUAAGCAUAUCAAUAAGCGGAGGA
rnacentral:misc_RNA from 1 species